CAGCCAGCGAGCCCGACUGACUGUAAGUUAUGGUGAGCCCUGCUGGCUGCUUGCUAACUCGGGGGAAAUGGAAGGAAGAUGGGCUGUCACAAGACUUCUGUACAUCGAGAUUCUCAAGGCACCUGAGGGACACCUAAAUCAUCAGGCUACAGCUGAAAGAGGAGAGUGUUUCCACGACUGCCUGUACCAUAAAAUUACUUUGAAUAAUAACAGAGGUAGGCGUGGGCCUCGAGAGAAAAGCCAGACAAGGGUAAAACCCUGGGUCUGUGUGCUUGUGGAAGGACAGCCAUGAAGAUUGAAAAGGAGGAAGGAAAGAAGACAGAGAUGGGAAAUGUCCAAGCCACAGCAAGGCCAGGUGAGGGCCCAGGCUUCCUGCUUUGGGCCGUGAGGGAAGUGUGACCGGAGACUGAUUCCUGACCACUGGUGGCCGCUUGCCCUUUCAGUUCGGGAAAGAGUUGGGAGGAAUUUGCCACCUUGUCUCCCAGCUGUGAGUGGCCCCUGUGUGUGAGCCUGUGUUUGUUCUAAAGCAUCUAGAGAGCCUGUGAAGUAAGCAGAGGGCCCCACCAUUUUCCCCACGCAUGUCAAUAGCAAGCAAGAAUCUGCACAAGAUUGAAGAAGUGGCCUUCCUGCAGAGGCUGGUAGCUGUCCCUUUCGCCCUGGUGCUUGUAAGACCUUCAGUGUCUGUGGCCACUGGGGUGGGCGUACCUUCUGUUAGCCUUUCCAUUGACUUGUUUUCUGCCUACUGAUUUUGACUGUUCACCAGGAAGUGUGUGGCACUUGCUGUGUGUGUGUGUGUGUGUGUGUGUGUGUGUGUGUGUGUGUGUGUACCCACUCCACCGUAGAGGAGAUUUAGAAUCAAAGGUUGUAUUAGUCAGGGUUCUCUAGAGUCACAGAACUGACGGGUCGUCUCUAUAUAGUAAGGGAAUUUGUUGAUGACUUACAGUCUGUAGUCCAACUCCCAACAGUGGUCAGCAGCAGCUGUGACAGGAUCUAGCAGUUGCUCAGUCCCACAAGGCAAGCAGGAGAAGAAGAGAGAGAGUAAAUCUUCCUUCUUACAAUGCCCUUAUGUAGGUCUCCAGCUGAAGGUGUGGCCCAGAUUAAAGGUGUGUGGCACCAUACCUUUAAUCCCAGAUGACCUUGAACUUGGAAAUCUCUCUGUCUUAAUCUUCUAGGAUUCAUAGCCACUAUGCCUCAAGGUCUCCAUGCCAAGAUCCAGGUCAGAAACUUGUAUCUCCCAGCCUCCAGAUUAGGGUCACUGGUGAGCCUUCCAAUUCUGGAUUGUAGCUCAUUCCAGUUAUAGUCAAGUUGACAGCCAGGAAUAGCCACUACAAAGGUCUUUAAAGUCAGGGGAAGUUGCAGUUUUAAGGGCUGGCAGCAACCACUUGGAAAGCACACUUUCUGUCUGGUCAGGGGCCAGUGAUCAGCAGCAGGACCCUAAGGCAUCCUGAAGCUAGGCUUUUACAGUGAAACAUGGUCUUCACUAUUCAGGAAGGCUCCCGUCCAACCAAGAAUUAUGAUGGAGAUGAGGUUGGAGAGGUGGCUCAGGGGAUACACUGCGAGCCACACCAACAGGAGGACCUGAGCUCAGUACUCAGCAUACACAUAACAUGCUUAGCAUAGUAGCAUGAGUGCUAGGAAGUCGGGGACAGAGGCUCCCCAGAGCUUGCUGGCCAGGGGACUAGCCAAUCGAUGCCCUCCACAUUCAGUGAGAGACCCUGCCUCAAAAACCAAAAUGGAGGGCUGGCGAGAUGGCUCAGCGAGUAAGAACACUGACUGCUCUUCUGAAGGUUCUGAGUUCAAAUCCCAGCAACCACAUGGUGGUUCAUAACCACCCGUAAUGAGAGUUAAUACCCUCUUCUGGUGUGUCUGAAGACUGCUACAGUGUACUUACAUAUUAUAAUAAUAAAUAAAUCUUUGGGCCGGAGGGAGCAGAGGUCCUGAGUUUAAUUCCCAGCAACCACAUGAUGGCUCACAACCAUCUGUACAACUACAAUGUACUCAUAUACAUAAAAUAAAUAAAUAUUUUUUAAAAAAAGACUGCUGCAGGCAGUCACAGCUGCUCUGACGAAGGUGGUAAAGGCUGUUGUGCUGUGAGGACAACACCCUACAGGUCACUCUCAGCCUUCACGUGGACCUAUCUGACAUUUUUAAGCC
rnacentral:lncRNA from 1 species